GAUGAACGCUGGCGGCGUGCUUAACACAUGCAAGUCGAACGGCAAGACUCUUGCUUGUUGGGGUACUCGAGUGCCGAACGGGUGAGUAACACGUGGGCGAUCUGCCCUGCACUUUCGGAUAAGCCUGGGUAACUGGGCCUACUAUCGGAUAGGACGAUGGUUUGGAUGCAAUUGUGGAAAGCUUUUCGGCGUGGGAUGGGCGAGCGGCCUAUCAGCUUGUUGGUGGGGUACUGGCCUACCAAGGCGUCGACGGGUAGCCGGCCUGUGAGCGUGUACGGCCACAAUAGGACUGAGAUACGGCCCAGACGCCAACGGGAGGCAGCGGUGGGGAAUAUUGUACAAUGAGCGCGAGCCGGAUACGGCGACGCCGGGUUUGUGAUGACGGCCUGCGGGUUGAGAACAGCUUUCGCUUGGGACGAAGCGCAAGUGACGGUACCUAGAGAAGAAGCACCGGCUAACUACGUG
rnacentral:rRNA from 1 species